UUCGAUUCUGGCUCAGAUUGAACGCUGGCGGGAUGCUUUACACAUUUAAUGAGAACCAUGGUAGUAAUGGACUUCGGUCUGGUGGCGAGUGGCGAACGGGUGAGUAAUGUAUCGGAAAUGCGUGCCUAGUAUGGGGGAUAAUUACGAAAGCGUAGCUAAUACCGCAUACGCCCUUCGGGGAAAGCGGGGACCUUCUCGGGCCUCGCACUAUUAGAGCGGCCGAUAUCGGAUUAGCUAGGUUGGUGGGGGUAACGGCUCACCAAGGCGACGAUCCGUAGCUGGUUUGAGAGGACGACCAGCCACACUGGGACUGAGACACGCCCAGACUCCUACGGGAGGCAGCAGUGGGGGAAUUUUGACAAUGGGAAACUGAUCCAGCUAUCCCGCGUGUGCGAUGAAGGCCUUCGGGUUGGGAAGCACUUUUGGAGGAGUGAAACGGCACGGGAUAAUACCCCGUGCAACUGACGGUACCUGCAGAAUAAGCACCGGCUAACUACGUGCCAGCAGCCGCGGUAAUACGUAGGGUGCAAGCGUUAAUCGGAAUUACUGGGCGUAAAGCGUGCGCAGUGGUGUGUCUGGAAAGAAAGAUGUGAAAUCCCAGAGCUUAACUUUGGAACUGCAUUUUUAACUACCGAGCUAGAGUGUCAGAGGGAGGUGAAUUCCGCAGCAUGAAUGCAGAUAUGCGGAGGAAAACACCGAGGCAGGGAAGGCAGCCUCUGGGAUAACACUGACGCUCAUGCACGAAAGCGUGGGGAGCAAACAGGAUUAGAUACCCUGGUAGUCCACGCCCUAAACGAUGUCAACUUGCUGUGUUGGGGCCCUUCGGGCCUUGGUAGCGCAGCUAACGCGUAAAGUUGACCGCCUGGGGAGUACGGUCGCAAGAUUAAAACUCAAAGGAAUUGAGCUGUAAUUCCGCACAAGCGGUGGAUGAUGUGGAUUAGAAUUCGAUGCAACGCGAAAACCUUACCUACCCUUGAUGUCUGGAAUCCUGAAGAGAUUUGGGAGUGCUCGCAAGAACCGGAACAGUACAGGUGCUGCAUGGCUGUCGUCAGCUCGUGUCGUGAGAUGUUAUUAAGUCCCGCAAACGAGCGCGCAACCCUUGUCAUUAGUUGCUACGAAAGGCACUCUAAUGAUCGCUAUAUGGCGACAAACCGAGGAAGGUGGGGAUGACGUCAAGUCCUCAUGGCCCUUAUGGGUAGGGCUUCACACGUCAUACAAUGGUCGGGACAGAGGCCGCCAACCCGCGAGGGGGAGCCAAUCCUAGAAACCGAUCGUAGUCCGGAUCGCAGUCUGCAACCCUGACUGCGUGAAGUCGGAAUCGUCAGUAAUCGCGGACUAGUAAGUCGCGUGAAUAUGUUCCCGGGUCUUGUACACACUGCCCGUCACACCAUGGGAGGCUUUACCAGAAGUAGUUAGUCUUAACCGCAAGGAGGGAAGGAUUAUCGCACGGUGGAUUCAUGACUGGGGUGAAGUCGUAACAAGGUAAC
rnacentral:rRNA from 1 species